AUGGCGCAGUGGGACGCGCUCGUGGACGGCGCGCUCGCGAGCCUGGCCGCUAGGAGACUGCUGUUCAACACGCGCCUCAUCGCCCUCGCGCCGCCGCCGCCGCCCUCCGAAACCAGCUUCGCCGGACCGGGGCCCUGGGACCGCGCCACCGUCGAGAUCCAGGUCGACCGCACCUCCAUCCAACAAUGGCUCGCCGCAAAUGGCGAGGUAAGCAGCCAAGAAGACGACGAGGUGAACCGGGAACUGAUCCUCUUCUCCGGGAACGACUACAUGUGCCUCAGCUCGCAUCCGGCAGUCCGCGAGGCUGCAGUCAAGGCAGCUCAAGAUUAUGGAAUGGGGCCGAGAGGAUCUUCGUUGAUCUGCGGGUACACUACUUAUCACAAAUUGGUGGAGGAGUCACUGGCGGAACUGCAGAAAAAAGAGGACUGCCUUCUUUGUCCCACCGGAUUCUCCGCAAACACGGCCUUGAUGACUGCACUGGGCAGUAUCAGCUCUCUUCUGGUCGCUGGGAGCAAACCCGCAGAGGAUGAGAGGAUCGCAAUUUUCUCAGACGCGCUGAACCAUGCCUCCACCAUUGAUGGGAUCCGCCUCGUGGAGAGGCAGCACCAAGCAGUGGCCUUCGUCUACAAGCACUGUGACAUGUCGCACCUUGAUUUCCUGCUGUCCAGUUGCUCAAUGGAAAAGAAAGUUGUUGUCACAGAUAGUCUGUUCAGCAUGGAUGGGGAUUUUGCUCCGUUGCCUCAACUUGUCAAAUUACGCAACAAAUAUGGAUUUUUGUUGGUCGUCGAUGAUGCACAUGGAACGCUUCUUUGCGGCGAGAACGGUGGUGGCAUACCUGAGCUGUUUGGAUGUGAAAAUGACAUUGACAUAUGUGUUGGCUCCUUAAGCAAGGGAGUUGGUUGCCAGGGUGGUUUCAUAGCAUGCAGCACCAGAUGGAAGAGGUUGAUUCUAUCGCGAGGCCGCUCAUUCAUAUUUUCGACAGCUUUGCCGGUGCCCGUGGUUGCUUCUGUGCAUGCUGCAAUCCACGUUUCGAAGAAGGAGAGAUGGCGAAGAUCGGUCAUCUGGGAGCACGUGCAGUAUUUUGCUUCUCUGACCAAACUCAACGUAACUAGCCCCAUCAUCGUCAUUCUCGUCGGAAGCGAGGAAGCGGCGGUCAAGGCUCACAGGCAUCUUCUGAGAUCUGGAUUUCUCGUCCAACCAAUCAGACCGCCCGUGGUGCCACCCAACUCAAGCAGGUUGCGAAUUACUCUUAGCUCAGCUCAUACCUCGGACGACAUCAGAAGGCUUGUUGACGCGCUCGCUCCUUGGCUCCCGGCUCAACAUGCCGAGCAGGGUUGCGCUUCAGUUUCAAGAUUAUAA
rnacentral:rRNA from 1 species